UCAGUUCGGCAUCCCUCUUCCUGCAAACCUUCCAUUUUAUUUUUCAGCCCUCUCUCGGAUCUCUUCUCUGUUCUCUCGGACCCCAUCCAUGGUGGAGCGACACAGGCAUGUCUGAUUCCUCUAUAAUAGUGCUCUGGUCCGCAACACUGAGACCCAAACGAGCAGAUCUAAAACAGGUCGUCCAAAAAUCCUCCCUUUGCAGUUUCCUCGCAGAUUGAUGCAUCCGUAGCCUUCCAUAACCCAACAACAACGCACCUCCGUGAGUACCCCGCCGUGGUGGAAAAUCGAAAAAACGGAAACCCAAAGUGUGAAGAGCCCUAAUGGUUUCAAAUCCGAGACAACAACACAAGAACACACCCUGAGUCAGCAGCUCAGCUCAACCAAGGAUCUGCAAAUGUUGAGCGUAUAACCGAGAGAAAACAAGCUUAAGCUGCCGGUCUAAUGGUCCCAGAAGGCAAAAUAAACAGCAAAUGUCUUGGCCGCUACAAAUCAUGAAGGGGUAUACGGAUCCAUGAUAGAGCCAAGGAAAUAGAAGUAAACACACAAGCUUAACGGAUGAAAACAGCACAGGCCGCAUGACCCAGAUCGGUGCAUCUGGGAGGUAAAAUUCGAAUCCCUCAACUUUACAAGGAAUGGGGAAAGAUGAAUAUACUAAUACACUUCGUUUUCUCUUCAAUAUCAGUGAUGAAUACACUUCGUUUUCUCUUCAAUAUCAGUGAUGAAUACACUUCGUUUGCAUCUUUCUUGAUAAUAUUUCCCCACUUUCCCUUUAAAAUAUUUGAAAGCGCUGCUGAUUUUGCGUUUGUAUUUACUUUGUUAGGAAUUGAUAUUAGGAGGUGUUAAAUGGACCGUUGGAAUUGGGUUUCGAGUCUCUGAGGGACAUAAUGAGAUGGGUUAUUGAUAAAAGGGUUAGGAGGAGAAGGUGGACAAGAAACCAGUACAUUGGAUGCACAAUAUCAGUGAUGAACACUUUUCCCUUUCUUUGUUUAGAAAAAAUUUGAAAGAGCCACUGGUUUUGAAAGUGCUUAAAUGCAAAGAUUAUUUGCAAAAUUCUGUUUAAAUUUUUUAAUGUUUAGAUUUUUAUUCCAUAAAAAUUGUGAGAGGAAAUAUAUAAUGAUAGACAAAAAACUAUGUUAAACAAGUUUGGAUGGUUUAAAUUAUAGAAUUAUUUUGGUUGAUGGUAGAGACGGUUUCAAAUCCCGCGGCAGAGCGCGGGCAUUCCUGCUAGUUUUUAAUCUAAAACUGAAGAGGCGGUGGCAAUCUUGUAAAUAAACUAAAAUGUGGUUCAAAAUACUGUUCAUUUAUACGGUGCAAUUGAAAAGCCUUCUUUAGACUAAAGUAAUUUGAAUCUGAUUGCUCAAUUUUCUCCAGAAAUAAAUGAAAAUUUGAAAGUAAAAACAAAAAUAUUCAUGGAGAAGCAGUCCGUUAAAGCCCAAGAAAAUUAUUUCUGCACCCUAAUCCUGGUACCCAAUGCAGCCCAACGUUUCAGCCCAUAGGGUUUACAAAACUAGGGUUUUCUCAUAGAGUCUAUAAAUUGCCUCUUUCACAACUGCCAUCCCCAAAUCGAAGCAUCUGCUCACCUUCUCCUCCUUCAAGUCCAUAGCCGCUUCAACAACCCCCAUCCCACCCAAUCCCCGUUUCCCUUCAUAACUCAUAAUUUCUGUGUUUCCAUGUAAUUAUCUGUAAUGAUGGCCUUGAUGAAGCUCUUUGUGCCAAAGGCGGCAGCUUUCGAGCUCCGUCGAUGACGGUCACAACCCUCUAAGAAGUUCUGAGCCUCCUUUUAUUCUAUUGGUUUCAUGUUUUAGUUUGUUUGAUGAUUUUUUAAGCUGUUUUAGGAACUGGUUUUGAUCGAAGAAAGCGAGGUGACGAUAGAAAUUCAUGUCUGUCAAUCCACUGACUGGUAACAGUUUGAUGUUGCUGUGAAUCCCGACAGGUUCCGAUCGCUUUCUUUCUAAAUUCCAUUUCUUUUCACACUUCAAAUUUCACUCCCACACACAACCCCACUCGUUUUGUUAUUUCUUCUUUAAAAGAAUGUGGGCAGGUGAUGAAUCAAAUUGGUAUUUAUGGGUAAUUUGCGUCUGAAUUUCAUUGAUGUUUUAUCUAUCACCUUGGAGAACUGAUGCCCUUGUUCUUUCUUUUUUAUAGUUCUUGUCUUAUUUUGUUAAAUUUGAUAAUUUAUGGUCUGUGAUGAUAAAUCCAAAGGCUUGUUUCUCAAGAACAUUCGCAGUGGCCGCCUAAGAGCUUUCGCCUUUUGCCGGGCUUGAGAGCUUAUGCUUCUUUUUUCCUUCCUUGGAUGUCUGAGAAA